AGCAGCCGCGGUAAUUCCAGCUCCAAUAGCGUAUAUUAAAGUUGUUGCAGUUAAAAAGCUCGUAGUUGAAUUUCGGGGUUCUACCGUUGGUCGGGCUAUUGUCUGUACUGGCGUGUAGAAUUUCUACCUUCUGGGGAACUAUCAUGUUAUUAAUUUAGCGUGGUAGGAAACCAGAACCUUUACCUUGAAAAAAUUAGAGUGUUCAAAGCAGGCUUAUGUCUGAAUACAUUAGCAUGGAAUAAUAAAAUAGGACGGUGGUCCUGUUUUGUUGGUUUCUGAAUCACCGUAAUGAUUAAUAGGGAUAGUUGGGGGCAUUAGUAUUCAAUUGUCAGAGGUGAAAUUCUUGGAUUUAUUGAAGACUAACUACUGCGAAAGCAUUUGCCAAGGAUGUUUUCAUUAAUCAAGAACGAAAGUUAGGGGAUCGAAGACGAUCAGAUACCGUCGUAGUCUUAACCAUAAACUAUGCCGACUAGGGAUCGGACGAUGUUAACUUUUCUUGACUCGUUCGGCGUCCUUACGG
rnacentral:rRNA from 1 species